rnacentral:rRNA from 1 species
GACGAACGCUGGCGGCGUGCUUAACACAUGCAAGUCGAACGAUGAACUGGCCCCUUGCUGCUGGGGAUUAGUGGCGAACGGGAGAGUAACACGCGACUAAUCUCCCCUGGACUCUGGGUUAACCCCUAGACAUGGGAGCCAAUACCGGUUGGGACCCUCUAGCGCAUGGGCUAGGGUGGGCUGCACUUCGGUCUGUGAUGGACGCCGUGCCGCGCAGCUUAUGGGUGAGGUAAUGGCUCACCAAGGCGUCGACGGGUGGCCGGCAUGAGAGGGUGACCGGCAACACUGGGACUGAGAAACGGCCAAGACUCCUACGGGAGGCAGCAGUGGGGAAUAUGGGACAAUGGGCGAAAGCCUGAUCCAGCCAUGCCGCAUGUGUGAGGAAGGUCUACGGAUUGUAAAGCACUGUAAGUUGUGAGGAAGGGUAGUAACCUAAUACGUUGCUACUUUGACGUUACCGACAGAAGAAGCACCGGCUAACUUCGUGCCAGC